GCCGAUGGCUUUAGCUAUUCAAGUCAGAUAUGUGCAGAAUGCAGCGUAAUAACCAAUUCAAGGAGGAACGUCUUGUAAUUUGGUCAGAAAUAGAUAAAUAAGUGAAAAUGUAGCCUUGGUGCUCUUGCUGGACAUGAGAGCUGUAUUCUCAUAUAGUAUCUCAUCCCUUUGUCCUCUGCUGCUGUGUGCAGUUCACAUUGGGUUCCAUUUUGUCUGCUGGCAUAAUCAAGUUUUUUUUCAGCUAAGGCAUUAGUAUAAGCUUCAGAAUUCAAGGGACCGAUGUGUAUCACCUGAAUGAAAUUAAUAGCCAAUGGUGCCUGGUGUCAUUCUGGCAGACAUCUGCUGGCCCAAAGGCAGACAUUCUAUCUAUCCAGUAACACUCAGGCAGUAACAUACUUAGUCAAAUUCGUAGUGAAAGGGAAAUUUAAAACGUAUUGGGAGAGUGCCAUAGUCAUAAAUAAAUCAUACAUGGAAGCUUUCAAGCCUGAUUCCCAAGGGGAACCCAAAACCAACCCUCACAGUCCACAUCUUGCCCUGCUGGGCCUCUGUCCUCUUCUACAGAUAUGAGGGGAGUUAGCAGUGAAACGGGCAUCUAAGAGGACAUGGGCCGAAAUAGGUAGGGCUAUGACAAGCCAUUCAUUAGAAAUGUGGCACAAUGCAAUGAGCAAGACACCGAAGGUUGAUCAUUCUACACCAAAGGGGAAUAACACAAGAAGCAAUAUUAUGACAUCAGUUAACACAUUUAACUCAAUGAAGAAGAGGCAUAGUGACAUUCAGUAAAGGCAGAGAGAGAAAGGUCUUUCACAACUUGGGGAUAGUAGCAGCACACUCUCGAGGGGUUCCAGUGAAAUUAAAUGGCACCAGUAGGUGGCAGUACUGCACUUAAGAGGAUGCGGCCAACUAUCGUUACAUUUGAAGAAGAAGACCCUCGACAGACCUAGCUAAACGCUAAAAAAAAAUCACAGACAGUCACAAAUGGUUUAAAAGACGGUUUAGUGCCAAACAAUACUCAGAGGUUGAAUUCACUGUUGCCAAGCAGCUGAAGCCGAGAGGAGUGUCUGAUAUAAAUCAUGUACAGCGUCAGUCAGCGGAAUGUGGAAAGAGUGUACUCAUUAUUGCUAGGUGUUUGUGUAUUACUGGCCUGGGGCUUCGUGAUCUACGGCUGCAGGGAAGCGGCUCUGGAAAGUCUCACUGCUGUGGGUGGAGUCUGAGGCCCCGCAGACCACUGGGAAAUGGAGUUUCCUGCAGGAACAACGUCAUCGCAAACACAGACUGUCUGUCUCAGCGCAAGGAUGGAGUGAUAUGGACAUGUGUGAGGUGUCAUGGACAAAUGUGUGUGUGUGUGUGUGUGUGUGCACACAUGCCAGUGCACUCACUCACAUCUACCCUUCCCUGGUGGAAGAGUGUAGACCCAUUGUGAACUUAAUGAACAGAUGAGAGUGGAUAUGUGUGCAUUUUUGGUAUGAUGCUGUUGUGUUUUGAACUAUUCUCAUCUGAUGUUGUACUGCUUUGCUUUGUUUUUUAUUUCACCGGAAAAAAAUGUAAACCCUAUUUGGAAUAUCUCUUGGUUCAACAUCUCAUCAUGUAUAUAAGUAAAGCCAAACGCACAGAAAUCAGACCAAAUUCGAGAAAACAAGCGGGCCGUUAUUAAGCUUAAAUGUCAACUGUAACAUAUUAAAUUGACCUCAAGCGUAGAAUUUUGUCUGUAGAAAUUGCAGCAGGUUGACCUCCCCUCAAAAUUCAUACCUCGUUCCUACCCAGUUUCCACUUUUGAUUACUUGUGUUUGCCACUAGAAAAAUAUCUCCCUAAGUCAUGGCUUGCGAGACAGCUUGUUCUGUUUCAUAUACAUUUACAAGCUGUAUCAAAACCAACUACUGUUCUUUUCUGUCUCUUUUUGUUUUAGUGUUGUCAGCAUAAUUGGGUGGAUGGUGGAUGGUGGGGGGGUGGAAUUCCAAUCAGCAAAUAGAGGGAUAAAUCAAGCUCACAAGUCAUUUUCAGAGGGCUCAGAAAGGCUGUCUGUGAAUCAGUAAUAUUGACACAUCUGUUGAACAAUAAAACUGCAUUCACUUUA